UACGUAGGGGGCUAGCGUUGUCCGGAAUCAUUGGGCGUAAAGCGCGUGUAGGCGGUUCGGUAAGUCCGCUGUGAAAGUCGGGGGCUCAACCCUCGAAAGCCGGUGGAUACUGUCGGGCUAGAGUACGGAAGAGGCGAGUGGAAUUCCUGGUGGUAGCGGUGAAAUGGCGCAGAGUAUCGAGAGGAACACCUGCGGCGAAGGCGGGUUGCUGGGCUGACACGUGACGCUGAAGCGCGAAAGCUAGGGGAGCGAACGGGG
rnacentral:rRNA from 1 species